AUCCACCAUUUAGUGGGGAAUAACUGUUGGAAACGACAGCUAAUACCGCACAAUAUUGCUGGAUAAUUUCCAGUAAUGAGAGGAGCUUUCAAGCUCCGCUGAUUGAUGAGGAUGCGGCGCAUUAGCUAGUUGGUAGGGUAAUGGCCUACCAAGGCAAUGAUGCGUAGCCGAUCUGAGAGGAUGAACGGCACAUUGGGACUGAGACACGGCCCAAACUUCUACGGAAGGCAGCAGUAGGGAAUUUUUCACAAUGGGCGAAAGCCUGAUGGAGCAAUGCCGCGUGACUGAUGAAGGUCUUCGGAUUGUAAAGGUCUGUUGUAAGGGAAGAAAUGGUAAAACAGGAAAUGGUUUUAUCUAUGACGGUACCUUACCAGAAAGCCACGGCUAACUAUGUGCCAGCAGCCGCGGUAAUACAUANGUGGCAAGCGU
rnacentral:rRNA from 1 species